rfam:Stegodyphus mimosarum contig127861, whole genome shotgun sequence.
GCCUUCGUGGUGUAGUGGUCAGCACAUUCAACGCAUAAUCGAGAGGUCCGUAGUUCGAUUCCCGGCCAAGGCG